CCGAGUUUACAACUCCCAAACCCAAUGUGAACGUUACCAAACUGUUGCCUCGGCGGGGUCACGCCCCGGGUGCGUCGCAGCCCCGGAACCAGGCGCCCGCCGGAGGAACCAACCAAACUCUUUCUGUAGUCCCCUCGCGGACGUAUUUCUUACAGCUCUGAGCAAAAAUUCAAAAUGAAUCAAAACUUUCAACAACGGAUCUCUUGGUUCUGGCAUCGAUGAAGAACGCAGCGAAAUGCGAUAAGUAAUGUGAAUUGCAGAAUUCAGUGAAUCAUCGAAUCUUUGAACGCACAUUGCGCCCGCCAGUAUUCUGGCGGGCAUGCCUGUCCGAGCGUCAUUUCAACCCUCGAACCCCUCCGGGGGAUCGGCGUUGGGGAUCGGGACCCCUCACACGGGUGCCGGCCCCGAAAUACAGUGGCGGUCUCGCCGCAGCCUCUCCUGCGCAGUAGUUUGCACAACUCGCACCGGGAGCGCGGCGCGUCCACGUCCGUAAAACACCCAACUUUCUGAAAUGUUGACCUCGGAUCAGGUAGGAAUACCCGCUGAACUUAAGCAUAUCA
rnacentral:rRNA from 1 species